AGCUGGUCUGAAGUGAGCAAGUUACCUCAGUUGAUUGUUCAUGGUGAGUUGUAGGUCAAACUCCUUCUACUGUUUCCCCCUUCUCACUAAUACACUUGACUAGUUAUUU
ensembl:misc_RNA Y_RNA Y RNA